rnacentral:rRNA from 2 species
UAACGACUCUCGGCAACGGAUAUCUCGGCUCUCGCAUCGAUGAAGAACGUAGCGAAAUGCGAUACUUGGUGUGAAUUGCAGAAUCCCGUGAACCAUCGAGUCUUUGAACGCAAGUUGCGCCCUAGGCCAUCCGGCCGAGGGCACGCCUGCCUGGGCGUCACGUAUCGUGUCACCCCCCACUCUAUCGCUCCUUAUGGCGACGGAGCGUGGGGAUGGAGAUUGGCCCCCCGUGCCGCCCCAUUGUUUUGUGGUCGAGGUGCGGUCGGCCCAAAGAAAGAUAAGUCCCCUUGUGCGGCGAUCGUCGUGACGGGUGGUGGUCGAAAGCCACUUUGCCAUAGUUCGGACGUCGUGUGCGAUUCUUGCCCUCAUUGGGGCCAUUGUGUCGACCCUGAUCAUCUGUCGUCCAAGGACGCCAUUUUGACCGCGACCCCAGGUCAGGCGGGGCUACCCGCUGAGUUUAAGCAUAUCAAUAAGCGGAGGAGAAGAAACUUACGAGGAUUCCCCUAGUAACGGCGAGCGAACCGGGAAGAGCCC